rnacentral:rRNA from 1 species
GAUGAACGCUGGCGGCGUGCCUAAUACAUGCAAGUCGAGCGAACGGACGAGAAGCUUGCUUCUCUGAUGUUAGCGGCGGACGGGUGAGUAACACGUGGAUAACCUACCUAUAAGACUGGGAUAACUUCGGGAAACCGUAGCUAAUACCGGAUAAUAUUUUGAACCGCAUGGUUCAAAAGUGAAAGAUGGUCUUGCUGUCACUUAUAGAUGGAUCCGCGCUGCAUUAGCUAGUUGGUAAGGUAACGGCUUACCAAGGCAACGAUGCAUAGCCGACCUGAGAGGGUGAUCGGCCACACUGGAACUGAGACACGGUCCAUACUCCUACGGGAGGCAGCAGUAGGGAAUCUUCCGCAAUGGGCGAAAGCCUGACGGAGCAACGCCGCGUGAGUGAUGAAGGUCUUCGGAUCGUAAAACUCUGUUAUUAGGGAAGAACAUAUGUGUAAGUAACUGUGCACAUCUUGACGGUACCUAAACAGAAAGCCACGGCUAACUACGUG